rnacentral:rRNA from 1 species
GACGAACGCUGGCGGCGUGCUUAACACAUGCAAGUCGAGCGGUAAGGCCUCUUCGGGGGUACCCGAGCGGCGCACGGGUGUGUAACACGUGGGUGACCUGCCCUCAGCUCUGGGAUAAGCCUGGGAAACUGGUUCUAUUACCGGCUAUGACCUUUCCUCGCCUUGGGUUUGGUGGAAUGUUGUUUCGGCUGGGGAUGGACCCGCGUCCUUUCCUCUUGUUGGUGGGGUGAUGGCCUACCAAGGCGACAACGGGAAGCCGGCCUGAGAGGGCGACCGGCCACAACCGGACGGAGACAAGGGCCAGAGUGCUUCGGAAGGAAGCAGUGGAGAAAAGUGCGAAAUGGGCGAAAGCCUGAAGCAGCGACGGCGCGGGGGAGAUGACGGCCUUCGGGGUGUAAAACUCUUUCGACCCAGACGAAUGUGGAGGGUAGGGAUAGAAGAAGCACAGGCAGAAUACGUG